ensembl:snoRNA
GCCCAUGAUGACAUUCAAUUACAGCACCUGUUAGACUGCUGAGGUGAGUGAUGUGAACUGGAGUCUAAGC